rfam:Picea glauca, whole genome shotgun sequence.
UUAUGUACACGCCUACAAUGUUAAUUCAACAGAUCCCAUUAGAACUCGGUAUUCAAGCAUGCUUGGGAUAGAUUAGUACAUGGAUGGGUGACCUCCCAGGAAGUCCGAGUGUUUUACAUGCC